rnacentral:rRNA from 1 species
GUUGCUGCUGGUUCUCUAGGGAACAUGUGCACACUUGUCAUUUUUAUAUCUCCACCUGUGCACCUUUUGUAGACUUGGAUAUCUUUCUGAAUGCUUUUGUACAUGUCAGGUUUGAGGAUUGACUUUAUUGUCUGUCUUUACAUUUCCAGGUCUAUGUUCCUUCAAUAUACACUAGUUAUAGAAUGUAUUAAGUGGCCUUUGUGCCUAUAAAUCUUAUACAACUUUCAGCAACGGAUCUCUUGGCUCUCGCAUCGAUGAAGAACGCAGCGAAAUGCGAUAAGUAAUGUGAAUUGCAGAAUUCAGUGAAUCAUCGAAUCUUUGAACGCACCUUGCGCUCCUUGGUAUUCCGAGGAGCAUGCCUGUUUGAGUGUCAUUAAUAUAUCAACCUCUUCAGCUUUUGUUGUAGAGUGUUGGAUGUGGGGGGGUUGUGCUGGCCUUUCUAAAGGUCAGCUCCCCUAAAAUGCAUUAGCGGAACAAUCUGUUGACUGUUCAUUAGUGUGAUAAUUAUCUACAUUAUUGAACUGUGAGGCAUGUUCAGCUUCUAAUAGUCCAUUGACUUGGACAAUUUUUCAUUUAAUGUGACCUCAAAUCAGGUAGGACUACCCGCUGAACUUAA